AGACGAGGCUAUCGCCUCUACUCACCCGAACGGAGCGAGGUAAAUCAAGCCUCUUAUCCAUAACUCACG
rnacentral:ncRNA from 1 species